AUUUUCGUCGAAACACAAGCUUUUGUGCGGAGAAUAAUAGAUGAGCACGCGCUUCCGCGGGGUUCACAACCCGAUGAAAUAUGUAGUCUAUGACAUAAUCGAAAGUCAGGCGGGCGCGGGAGCCUUGUUUAUUGGCGCUGCCGUCGACGUCAACGAGUGUAGUUCGUGCCUACGUCACUUUCGUCGUCGAAGGUGUUGCUGUCGUAGGUGGUGCGGUCGUUUCGGCCUUAGGUAACGCUGUCUGAAGAAGCCUCAGGAAGACACGGACGAGGUGGGGGUUUAUGGGUUUGCAUCCUAUGUACUACAUCGUAUCUCUAGUUAUGGCUCAACGACAAAACCCACCUAUAUAACCUGCGACAUCACUUUGUGUAUUGAACGUAUGAGCCAACAUUGAUCUACAUAUAUAACCUAUACGUAAUGCUUGCGAACAACACAUAGUUACUGUACAUACGCAUCACAGCUAUGGAUAUAGUUGUUUGACAUAGUGACUAGAACGAGAUAAAAUGAAAAGACUGUCUGGUAGAAAGUAACAGAUACGAGGGAGGCCGGCCAUAAAUUUUCUCCGAGAAGAAGAAUCAUUUGAUCAUUUACGAGUUUGCGCCGGCCAAGAAAGACACGAUUCCUCUUCGAUCAAAAAAUUGCUCGAAAAAUAUAUCAAGAUUUCUUCGAGAGGAAAAACAGGCGUCAUUUGAAAAAUUUUCUCAAAAAAUAUAUCUGGAAACAAAAAUCCGACGACGAGUCUCGAAAAGAUGAUGAUAAGAACGAAGGAUGAAAAAGAAUCUCGAAUUCCACCGAACAACUUUAAUUAUUAUCCUUCUCCCUCCUCCUCCACCUCCUCCACCACUCCACUCUUCGUAGCCACGAAAAAAAUAAAACAGAACGAGCCACUGCCGGUCCCACACUAUUUAUCCAAUCCCUCAACCCCUCGACGGAUCCGUGGAGUGGAGGCGCGUUAAUAGGAGCAAGUUUCGGCCAUGUGCUCGGCCGAGACUCGACGGGCAUAACUGCGCCUGCGCCCUAUUCCCUAUGUCUGACCCCCGCAAAACGUCACGCGACCUCUUCCAAACCUCUUCUUUUCCCUCCCCUCUCGCCACCCCACCCGCCGCCGCGCUCGUCGCUCCUCGCUCCUCGCCGGAUGGAUGCCACGAACUGUGAAAAAAGGAGGAAAAAAGAGGGACCGAGCGAGAGAAACUGGCUACCGGCGGCAGCCAUUUACGCAGGGAAGAAAGGGGGGGGGCGGGUGGCCGAGUUGCGAUCGUGCCGUGCGAUUCGUCCGAAAAUCGAUUCGAGAUUGAUUUGUUUCUUUCUUCCGAGAGACACUUUCGUAUGCACGAUCGAGAUCGAGUUGUAAUUCCUUGGAAAAAAAUUAAAAUUUUCUUCCCCUAUAUAUUGCGAAACAUUGCGCGAGUAUCACCAUAUAUAUAUACACACACACAUCACUACACCGAUGAAAAAAUUCCAGAGCUAAAUUCCUUUCGAGAGAGAGAGAGAGAGAGGAAAGGAAAAGAGAAGGAGAUGUUAUCACAUGUCGCUCGAUCCAACAACACCAACACUGCAUGUACUCGGUGACCGGCCCUUCCACUGCGCCCGAGGCGCAUCCCGUGCACCCGAUGCACCCCCCUUUACGCACUUAUAUCGUACUUCCUUCCAGGUAUAACCAUGCGCACUGCACGAAAAACGAAAGAGGCCGGCGGGAUCGUGGAAGAAAGGAAGGAAGGAAGGAAGGAAGGACGGAAGAAAGGAAGGAAGGAAGAGAGGGCUUAUUCGUGUAUCGAACAUUCGCGUCACGCUCGUAGGAAGCCGGCGGUCACAAAACGGCGAAAGGUUACGUACGAGCCAAUGGCGGCCAAUGGGCGUUCACGCGACGCUUCUCUCCUCGUCCAAAUCCAUCUAUCCAUCGAGGGGGACAUCUCCUCCGCGAAACAAUUCUCUAUCGUGCCCGAUCUCGUUAGGAAAUGUUCGAGUUUCGAAAAGCGCCACCUCGAAACAUCGAAGCUCGAGUUUGCGUGUCUAUAUUAUGUUAUAUCUAACCUAUAUUAUGUUUACCACGUGUGUUGGUACGAAUAAAGAAACUAGAUUUUUCCCUAGA